rnacentral:rRNA from 1 species
UACGUAGGGGGCUAGCGUUGUCCGGAAUCAUUGGGCGUAAAGCGCGUGUAGGCGGCCCGAUAAGUCCGCUGUGAAAGUCGGGGGCUCAACCCUCGGAUGCCGGUGGAUACUGUCGGGCUCGAGUACGGAAGAGGCGAGUGGAAUUCCUGGUGUAGCGGUGAAAUGCGCAGAUAUCAGGAGGAACACCAAUGCGAAGGCAGCUCGCUGGGACGUUACUGACGCUGAGACGCGAAAGCGUGGGGAGCAAACAGGAUUAGAAACCC